rnacentral:rRNA from 1 species
CGAGGAGAACUGCGGAGGAUCAUUAAAAGAAAUUGGUUAUACAUUUCAUGUAUCAACUGUUUAAACCCAUUCUGUGUACCUUGCCUGUUGCUUCCAUGGAGCCUGACUUUGGUCACUCUUGUGAUGUAAAUCCCAAGGGAGUCCCCAUGGAAGGUCAUCAAUAAAACUCAUGUAUCCAAUUUCUUCUGUCUGAACUGUUUAUAACAAAUGUUAAAACUUUCAACAACGGAUCUCUUGGUUCUCGCAUCGAUGAAGAACGCAGCGAAAUGCGAUAAGUAGUGUGAAUUGCAGAAUUCAGUGAAUCAUCGAAUCUUUGAACGCACAUUGCGCCUCCUGGUAUUCCGGGAGGCAUGCCUGUUCGAGCGUCAUUAAAUACCUCUCAAGCACCAUUGCUUGGUCAUGGAAGAUGAGUAUGCUUGCAUUCUCCCUUCUGAAAUUCAAAGGCGGAUCAUCUCAUAUUCCCUGGCGUAGUAAGUGUUUAUCUUUCGCUUGGAGUGUGUGACAGUCUUGCCAUCGACCCCCAUUAUUUCAAGGUUGACCUCGGAUCAGGUAGGGAUACCCGCUGAACUUAAGCA